rnacentral:rRNA from 1 species
ACUACGGGUGGCAGCAGUGAGGAAUAUUGGUCAAUGGGAGAGAUCCUGAACCAGCCAAGCCGCGUGAGGGAAGACGGCCCUAUGGGUUGUAAACCUCUUUUGUCGGAGAACAAAACCCGGGACGAGUCCCGGACUGCGUGUAUCCGAAGAAAAAGCAUCGGCUAACGCGGUGCCAGCAGCCGCGGUACUACGGAGGAUGCGAGCGGUAGACGGAUUUAUUGGGUUUAAAGGGUUCGUAGGCGGUCUGUUAAGUCAGCGGGAAAAUUGCGGGGCUCAACCCCGUCGAGCCGUUGAAACUGGCAGACUUGAGUUGGCGAGAAGUACGCGGAAUGCGCGGUGUAGCGGUGAAAUGCAUAGAUAUCGCGCAGAACUCCGAUUGCGAAGGCAGCGUACCGGCGCCAGACUGACGCUGAGGCACGAAAGCGUGGGGAUCGAACAGGAUUAGAUACCCCAGUAGUC